rnacentral:rRNA from 1 species
UACGGGGGGGGCAAGCGUUGUUCGGAAUGACUGGGCGUAAAGGGCUCGUAGGCGGCCAACUAAGUCAGACGUGAAAUCCCUCGGCUUAACCGGGGAACUGCGUCUGAUACUGGAUGGCUUGAGAUUGGGAGAGGGAUGCGGAAUUCCAGGUGUAGCGGUGAAAUGCGUAGAUAUCUGGAGGAACACCGGUGGCGAAGGCGGCAUCCUGGACCAACACUGACGCUGAGGGAGCGAAAGCCAGGGGAGCAAACGGG